rnacentral:ncRNA from 1 species
AUAAUGAACAACGAUGUAUGUAUAUAAGAAACUUGUGUACUCAAACACUCAAGUUGCCUGCGUUGACUCCUUUUUGAAUGUUUUCGCUACUAAUCGGCGAUCACUCUUUGUUCGCAUAUUUUGACGCUGCCUGUGUGCAGCAAGUAUACAUAAUUUGAAUUCAGUUACCAAAAAACCUCUGCGCUGUAAACACGUUUAAUAGUCCCAUUAUAAGGACACUAGCUUCUUAAAUGGACAAAUUGCGUCUAGCAAUAAUGCGAUUGAGCAAUAACAGGUCUGUGAUGCCCUGGGCUGCACGCGCGCUACAAUGAAUGUAUCAACGUGUAUUUCCUAGACCGAGAGGUCCGGAUAAACCGCUGAACCACUUUCAUGCUUGGGAUUGUGAACUGAAACUGUUCACAUGAACUUGGAAUUCCCAGUAAGUGUGAGUCAUUAACUCGCAUUGAUUACGUCCCUGCUCUUUGUACACACCGCCCGUCGCUACUACCGAUUGAAUUAUUUAGUGAGGUCUCCGGGCGUGAUCACUGUGACGCCUUGCGUGUUACGGUUGUUUCGCAAAAGUUGACCGAACUUGAUUAUUUAGAGGAAGUAAAAGUCGUAACAAGGUUUCCGUAGGUGAACCUGCGGAAGGAUCAUUA